rnacentral:rRNA from 1 species
AGAACCUGAAACCUUGUGCCUACAAGCACCGAGAGUCCGUUAAAGGAUGAUCGGGUACUUUUUGUAGAACGGUCCGGCGAGUUAAUAUUUGCAGCGAGGUUAAGGAACUGGAGUUCCGGAGCCGCAGCGAGAGCGAGUCUGAAUAGGGCGUAUGAAGUUGCAGGUAUUAGACCCGAAACCGGGUGACCUAUCCAUGAGCAGGCUGAAGCGGUGGUAAGACACCGUGGAGGGCCGCACCCACGUCUGUUGAAAAAGCCGGGGAUGACUUGUGGAUAGCGGAGAAAUUCCAAUCGAACUCGGAGAUAGCUGGUUCUCCCCGAAAUAGCUUUAGGGCUAGCGUUAUUUUAGAUUACCGGAGGUAAAGCACUGAAUGGUCUAGGGGCCGCGAGGUUACCAAAGCCUAUCAAACUCUGAAUGCCGGAUAAUUGAUGAAUAGCAGUCAGACUGUGUGAGAUAAGUCUCAUAGUCAAAAGGGAAACAGCCCAGAUCUACAGCUAAGGUCCCAAAUGAACACUAAGUGGAAAAUGAUGUGAAACUGCGAAGACAACCAGGAUGUUGGCUUAGAAGCAGCCACUCAUUCAAAGAGUGCGUAAUAGCUCACUGGUCGAGUGGUUUUGCGCAGAAAAUGUAACGGGGCUAAGUGUUCAACCGAAGCUUAGGCAUUGCAGUAAUGCAUUGGGUAGGGGAGCGUCGUAUGCGGGGCGAAGUCAGAGCGGAAGCACUGGUGGACUGCAUACGAGUGAGAAUGCCGGAAUAAGUAGCGAGAAUUAUGUGAGAAUCAUAAUGGCCGAAAAUCUAAGGUUUCUUGGGGAAGGUUCGUCCGCCCAAGGUUAGUCGGGAGCUAAGCUCAGGCCGAAAGGCGUAGGCGAUGCACAUACGGUAGAAAUUCCGUAACCACCGAACUUUAAGCUAGAGGGACGCUUUCUUUAAGGUUAUCCCGGGCGAUGGUUGCCCCGGGCGUAAGGGACCGAAAUUUAGUAGGGAAGUAACUGGCGAGAGAGACGAGAAAAGCUCUAGUGUAUACUAAGGUGCCCGUACCGCAAACCGACACAGGUAGAAGGGAUGAGUAUUCUAAGGCCAACGGGAGAAGGGUUGUUAAGGAACUCGGCAAAUUGGCCCCGUAACUUCGGGAUAAGGGGCGCCUGCGAGAGCAGGCCGCAGUGAAAAGGCCCAAGCGACUGUUUAGCAAAAACACAGCUCUCUGCUAAAUCGAAAGAUGACGUAUAGGGGGUGACGCCUGCCCGGUGCUGGAAGGUUAAGGGGAGUGCUUAGCGCAAGCGAAGGUACGAACUUAAGCCCCAGUAAACGGCGGCCGUAACUAUAACGGUCCUAAGGUAGCGAAAUUCCUUGUCAGGUAAGUUCUGACCCGCACGAAUGGCGUAACGAUUUGGGCACUGUCUCAACAGCCCGCCCGGCGAAAUUGUAGUACCGGUGAAGAUGCCGGUUUCCCGCAACUAGACGGAAAGACCCCAUGGAGCUUCACUGUAGCUUGAUAUUGGACUUCGGUAUUCCAUGUACAGGAUAGGUGGGAGGCUAGGAAGCGAGCGCGCCAGCGUUCGUGGAGCCA